GCAAGUCGAGCGGUAGCACAGAGAGCUUGCUCUCGGGUGACGAGCGGCGGACGGGUGAGUAAUGUCUGGGAAACUGCCUGAUGGAGGGGGAUAACUACUGGAAACGGUAGCUAAUACCGCAUAACGUCGCAAGACCAAAGUGGGGGACCUUCGGGCCUCAUGCCAUCAGAUGUGCCCAGAUGGGAUUAGCUAGUAGGUGGGGUAACGGCUCACCUAGGCGACGAUCCCUAGCUGGUCUGAGAGGAUGACCAGCCACACUGGAACUGAGACACGGUCCAGACUCCUACGGGAGGCAGCAGUGGGGAAUAUUGCACAAUGGGCGCAAGCCUGAUGCAGCCAUGCCGCGUGUGUGAAGAAGGCCUUCGGGUUGUAAAGCACUUUCAGCGGGGAGGAAGGCGAUAAGGUUAAUAACCUUGUCGAUUGACGUUACCCGCAGAAGAAGCACCGGCUAACUCCGUGCCAGCAGCCGCGGUAAUACGGAGGGUGCAAGCGUUAAUCGGAAUUACUGGGCGUAAAGCGCACGCAGGCGGUCUGUCAAGUCGGAUGUGAAAUCCCCGGGCUCAACCUGGGAACUGCAUUCGAAACUGGCAGGCUAGAGUCUUGUAGAGGGGGGUAGAAUUCCAGGUGUAGCGGUGAAAUGCGUAGAGAUCUGGAGGAAUACCGGUGGCGAAGGCGGCCCCCUGGACAAAGACUGACGCUCAGGUGCGAAAGCGUGGGGAGCAAACAGGAUUAGAUACCCUGGUAGUCCACGCUGUAAACGAUGUCGAUUUGGAGGUUGUGCCCUUGAGGCGUGGCUUCCGGAGCUAACGCGUUAAAUCGACCGCCUGGGGAGUACGGCCGCAAGGUUAAAACUCAAAUGAAUUGACGGGGGCCCGCACAAGCGGUGGAGCAUGUGGUUUAAUUCGAUGCAACGCGAAGAACCUUACCUGGUCUUGACAUCCACAGAACUUUCCAGAGAUGGAUUGGUGCCUUCGGGAACUGUGAGACAGGUGCUGCAUGGCUGUCGUCAGCUCGUGUUGUGAAAUGUUGGGUUAAGUCCCGCAACGAGCGCAACCCUUAUCCUUUGUUGCCAGCGGUCCGGCCGGGAACUCAAAGGAGACUGCCAGUGAUAAACUGGAGGAAGGUGGGGAUGACGUCAAGUCAUCAUGGCCCUUACGACCAGGGCUACACACGUGCUACAAUGGCAUAUACAAAGAGAAGCGACCUCGCGAGAGCAAGCGGACCUCAUAAAGUAUGUCGUAGUCCGGAUUGGAGUCUGCAACUCGACUCCAUGAAGUCGGAAUCGCUAGUAAUCGUAGAUCAGAAUGCUACGGUGAAUACGUUCCCGGGCCUUGUACACACCGCCCGUCACACCAUGGGAGUGGGUUGCAAAAGAAGUAGGUAGCU
rnacentral:rRNA from 1 species